GACGUAGGUGGCGAGCGUUAUUCGGAAUUACUAGGCGUAAAGCGAGUGUAGGCGGAUGCUUAAGUCCGUAGUGAGAUCUCCCGGCUCAACCGGGAGGGGUCUGCGGAUACUGGGCGUCUUGAAUUGGGUAGGGGGGAUCAGAAUUCCCGGUGUAGCGGUGAAAUGCGCAGAUAUCAGGAGGAACACCAGUGGCGAAGGCGGUGCUCUGGGCCGGUACUGACGCUGAGGAGCGAAAGCGUGGGGAGCAAACAGG
rnacentral:rRNA from 1 species